rnacentral:rRNA from 1 species
GAGUUGAUCUUGGCUCAGAGCGAACGCUGGCGGCAGGCCUAACACAUGCAAGUCGAACGGACCCUUCGGGGUUAGUGGCGGACGGGUGAGUAACACGUGGGAACGUGCCUUUAGGUUCGGAAUAGCUCCUGGAAACGGGUGGUAAUGCCGAAUGUGCCCUUCGGGGAAAGGACUUAUCGCCUUUAGAGCGGCCCGCGUCUGAUUAGCUAGUUGGUGAGGUAACGGCUCACCAAGGCGACGAUCAGUAGCUGGUCUGAGAGGAUGACCAGCCACACUGGGACUGAGACACGGCCCAGACUCCUACGGGAGGCAGCAGUGGGGAAUCUUGCGCAAUGGGCGAAAGCCUGACGCAGCCAUGCCGCGUGAAUGAUGAAGGUCUUAGGAUUGUAAAAUUCUUUCACCGGGGACGAUAAUGACGGUACCCGGAGAAGAAGCCCCGGCUAACUUCGUGCCAGCCGCCGCCGUAAG